rnacentral:lncRNA from 1 species
UGUGUUAUUGGAUUGCGAUUUGAAAACUUGGCAGAAGAUAGAAGUUAGACUUUUUGGUGUCUGGACAGGACAGUUAACUGCAGAUAAUGAGCAAUCUCCUCUUUUCUUGACGUAAAGGAGAUUUCGAUCGACGAACGAAAAAUCCCGUCUAUCGCUUCUGAAGACAAUUGGGAUCAUAUUGUGAAGAAUCUGAUGAAGGAAUCAACUAUUCACGAGAAAUAACUGCAUCAGCUAUAGGAACUAUGCAAUAGAAGGAUCAUGGGACGAUGAAAUUUUUCCUGGCUAAAGCUGAGAAAAUCCAACUGACGUGUUACACUUUAUAUUCUGAUGUUUUGAAUAGAAAUGAGAAAGAUACUAAUCACUUUUUCCUGCUUCUCAAUUACGUAGUCAGGUAGAGUAUACAGCUGUAGUGCUAUACACGUAGUAGGCCCUAGUUCGAAAUUUAAGAGCGACUCGUUCAUAAUUGUCUCUUUCUCAAGACUAAGACUUUUUAAAUAACGUACAAUGGACACCAACUUUGCAAUGAAUUUAACCCAAAACCAGCAAUAUCUUAACAAGUCAAGUAUUUAGGUCAGCUACUAUAUAACUUCAGACAGUUUAGCUGGAGAAGAAUAUUGCCGCUAUUGCAGUCGAUUCACGGUCUCCUACAAACGGCGUCUAAUCUCAUUUUUUCUGUGACGAUGGCUAGUAUCUUCAACAAUCGACAGCAAUCUCAGCGCGGCAACUUGGAUCUCGUUGGUGGAUGAGAAGCCACAUGCACCGUCGUGUAGCAUUAUCCAGCUCGUUAGAGAUAUCAUGGCAUCGGUAUAUUAUUUUUAAAGAGUCAGAAAUACGGUUCAAUUUUGAGGGGGUUCCUUUUAUGGGAGCAGGGUAAUUUGUCUGAAUAUGGUCAGCUGUCACGAAAGCAGGCAUUGCAGAAGUUGUUCCUGCG